rnacentral:piRNA from 1 species
UGGGACUGUGCGCUGGACUUGGAGCC